GUAGCUCAGUGGUUGAGUACUUGCCUUGCAUGCAUGAGGCCCUGGGUUGGAUUCCUAGC
rnacentral:tRNA from 1 species